rnacentral:rRNA from 1 species
AUUGAACGCUAGCGGGAUGCCUUACACAUGCAAGUCGAACGGAGUGGCGAACGGGUGAGUAAUGUAUCGGAACGUGCCCAGUAGCGGGGGAUAACUACGCGAAAGCGUAGCUAAUACCGCAUACUAUUGGAGCGGCCGAUAUCGGGUUAGCUAGGUGGUGGGGUGUCGGCUCAACAAGGCGACGAUCCGUAGCGGGUUUGAGAGGACGACCAGGCACAAUGAGAAUGAGACACGGCCCAAGCUCCUACGUGAGGCAGCAGUGGGGAAUUUUGGACAAUGGGGGAAACCCUGAUCCAGCCAUCCCGCGUGUGCGAGGAAGGCGUGCUGGUUGUAAAGCACUUUUGGCAGGAAAGCGGUACCUGCAGAAUAAGCACCGGCUAACUACGUGCCAGCAGCCGCGGUAAUUC